CCGGCGGGCCCCGGGGCACCGGGAGGGGGAUGGAGGGGGCGGCAGCGCUCGGCGGGACGGGGAUGCGGGCUUUGGUCCCCGAGGGUCGGUCCGUGCCGGUGCGCGAUCGUUUCCAUUAUUGAAGGGCAUCGGUGCGGCAGGAGCGCGGACCCAGCCCGCCCCUUGCACCCAUCCCGUCGGGGGUGGGUUUUCUGCCCCCUCUCGCUUCGGUGCGAGGGCAGAGCGAGGUGAAUUUAGGAUUUUUUGUUCAAUUGGGCUUCUCACCCGGGACCCACCGGGCGGCACAGCGCGAUUACGGCGCGUUGUCCCCCGACACCUCCGGCACACCACAGACGUGCGGCACUAAUGGGCACCCUGCCCACCCUGGAGAUGGUGGGCAAAUGUUUGUCCUCAAAUACAGCUAUUCAUUUUGUACAAUUUCUCAUUUAAAAAUAAUUUCAAUUCUUAUUCUAAUAAUCACAUGCAGGGGUCUGCACAUUGUACUUUUUCAGCAAUUCUUUCAAUUUGUUAAACAGUUAUUUACACAUUUUCAUUUUGCAUCUGCAUUUCCCCAGCCCCUUCAGCUUUAUUUCACGUUCCCUCUACCUUUUCUUUGUCUUUUCACCUGCUAGAAAAUGCUUCUAAAACUUUCCCGAUGUUCUCUAAAUGCCCUUUGCCUCUGAAACUGAACCAUUUAGCAUCUUCACUUUAUGGUGCACUGUAUUUCAUGUCUUGAUUCUUCCAACUUUUUAACUGUAAAUUUUAGCAAGCUGGUUUUAGAUCUGUGCUCCAAGACUGUGCUUCCUUCCAUUUAUUAUGGAGUGACAGAUAUGCCUGCCUUGCUCUUCACUGGCUUCUAAAAUGGGAAAAUAAACAAAACAUAAAUAUGAAACAAUGAGGGGAGGAAAACAUUUUAAAAGAUCAUUGCUUCAGUGUCUGACAUCUCAUUCCCAGGCACCACCAUGGGAGUGGAUAUGGUUCUGGGCAUCUCCCAUGGACCCACAGGGACCAGGGGCUGCAAUCACUGCCACUGCUCUGUCAGCUGUCAGAGUAGGAGCCUCAAAGAACAGGAAUAUGAACGGAUCCACGAGAGGGGGAAAGGGCGAGUGUGUAGUACGUGUACUAGAAAUGCCAAGAGAAUAUCAAUAAAUAUUGAUAUAGAGUAGAACACUGAUAAAAUGGCACUGGAACACCAUCCUCUUGCUCACCCACAUUUGCUUUCUGCAACAUAGUGCAACAGCAGGUCAAGGUUCACCAAAGCCGAGGCAGCAACCAGGGCACGUGGUUCCUGUUCAUUUUAAUUUAUUUUAUUCUCUGCAUGGUUUUCUCAGUGCUCACUGCCAAAAAUACAAUUUAUUCACUUUCCUGGACAGAUGCCUUAAAGAUCCCUCUGUUCCUUUUUUAGAGCUGUUUCUGAGGCUUUAUUUAAAUGUGGCCACCUCACCAAGCAGUUUCUGAUUCCAUGUGGGUUUUUCCUGUGUGAGUGUUACCUCCAGUGGUAACCCAAACUGCUUUUUUACCUCUCAUUUCUCAUCACUGACAGUGCAAACUGGCAUGGUUUUUUUGCUGUAUUUUGUGUUAAGGAGCUCUGCAGAAAUGUUGUCUCCAAACAGAAAUUAAAUCAGAGUUGUAUGUACAUAUAAUAGCAAUUUAUAUCCUCAAAUCUUUAAGUAGUAGUCAGAACAUCUAGAUCCACAGGAGUGUUUUGAAAGUCCAGGCACCCUUUUCUAAAUGAUAAAUACAUUCACAUGUGUUUGGUUUUUUAAGAAAUCCUUCCAUGCAGGAUGAUGGACUGUGUACAGAGUUCUGAAUUGUGCUGGAGAAUGAGUCUGUGCCACAUGGACUUGGUUAUGUCAUCCAUUCAGGAAAGAUGCUGUCCAAUGCACUAAAUUCCCAUCUAAUAAUAGCACAAUAAAUAGGAACAGCUUGCUCAGCAGCAUCAGGUGGAGUCAAAGAUAAUUGUUUUAUGCUUCAUAAACAAUUUAGGCUUGUUGUUUACCAGUGAAAUAUUUAUUUAGACCCUACUGCACCCAGUGUAUUAUAUCUGAGUGUAAGAUCUGAAGCAAGGCUGGUUAUGAAAAUAUUAUUUCUUCUUUAUAACUUCAGUUCAACAUGGAAUUCAAGGUAGACCUGCUUCCAGGGGGUCCACAUCCCAAUACAAGCCUGCUGCAGAGGGUUUUUUUUUCAGUGAGAAUAGUUACAUUCCCCAAGCAGAAAUAUACCCUUGUAGACCUAGUGGAAAAUAUUCCUUUGCACAUAGGUAAGAUAUUCACGAAUACAGCAUGUAACACUGAGGAUGAAAUCCUAAGUUACAAGGGCCAGGAGUUUACCUGAGUGGGUUUUUCACCCUUAUUGUCAAAAGGCAUGCAAAUAUUUGAGGCUGUAGCUGUGCUUUUGUACCCACAUUUCUGAUCCUCCAAAGACCGUCCAUGAAAAGGGGAGACAGGCUGGUUUUGAAAAGCCAGGUACUCACACACAGCAGCCCGUUUCCUUGCUUGUUAGCAGACAUAACUUAUUUAAACUUGGUAAUCCUUAUUCAAAGUUCAAGGCCAUAAUCUGGAGCCCCGCUCUCUGCUGGCUGCCGUGGCACCUCUCCAGACAUCUGUUCCUGGUGUGGGGAGCAUCACUCUCUGCAGCUGGUGCCCCGUGGCUUCACCAUGUCCACACUGAUGUCCAACAAACCCAUCCCUUCAGUCAGAACUGUGCAGUGGGGAAGGCUGGAGGAGUUCAGGAGCUUCAGCACCUCUGACCAGUGGCCAGAGCUCUGUGACUUUUAUCUCUUACAGAAGUGGAAAGCACAGGCAUGAAACCCUGCAAGCUGUGAAUUGAGAAAGCUGUCACAGAAAUGAAAGUACCCCAGGAAUGGAUAAAGUGAGAAAGAUGCAUUUCUUCUUCUUCUGACACAUUUCUUCUUCUUCUUUGUGCAUCUUGUAGAAGGGGAGCAACUCUCUUCUUGCUGAGGCAAUAAAGGAAAGAGCAGAGAUAAACAGGAGCACAUAAGGAAAACCAAAGGCAGGAGCCAGCACUACAAAGCAAUUGGAGGACGGCGUAAAAGAGGCCAUAUGUGCAGGCAAUCACAGAGGAUAAGGGGGAACACCUGUUUUUCCAUCAAUUACAGCCUGAAAGCUAGUCUUGCUGAAGAAAAAUGGGAGAAAUUAAAUUGCCUGUGCUUCUUAUCAAAGCCAGUACUGUGUCUAUAAUUUACAAAGACAAGAGAAAAGAAUCACAGAAGAGGAUGACCAACGUUGGAAAAGACCCUUAAGUCCAGCCCAGCACUGCCAGGCCCACCACUUAUCUACAUCCCUAAACUUGCUUAAAAUUGGUCUAGUUUCAUCAUAGAGCAUAAAAUUCCUCUCCUCAUCAUUCCACUGCCUAAAGGACUUAACUUUGGCUUGUAUUAUGCCAAUGAGGAGUAAAUCUAAGCAUCCUUAUACUGAAAUUAAAACAUGUUGGUUUGGACAAUACAGCAUCAGGCUGAUAAGCCAGGCCUGGCAGAUAAGCCAGGCCUGUGCCUGGGUUUUGACGCUCCUUGGGGCAGUAUCUCAAAAGUCUGUGCUACACAACCUGCCCUGCUGGGUGACACUUGGCCACACAUCAUGAUUUUGAGUGUUUUUUGAUGCUUUUGGAUGCUUCCAAGGGCUGCCUGUUUACCUUUAGCUAAUAACUCACGUGCUACUUUCCCUCAAAUUAUUACAAUCUGGCUUCAAAGGUGCAAGAGUUUGGGCUACUGAGGUACCAGCAGCAGUUGGAAAAGAUUUCUUUAAAUAUUCUUUGAGUCUAGGUUUAGCUGUGAUAAAGCAAUACUAUUUCCAAGUAAAUCACUAGGCCCCAUCCAAAACUGAUAAACACACAAAACCAGUUCUUCUGUUUGUGUGUCAUGCUUGUGAUUGGAGGCAUUUUUACCAGUGCUGUGGCAGCCAAAGCAAGCACCAUUUUUAAGGGUAGGGCGUGCAUUUUAGAAAAUGCUUCAAAGAUGCAGCAGCAAACUCAGAGGUUUUCCACAGUGCAGGGUCAUGCAUCCCUCCAUCCAACUCUGACCCAUGGAAGGUUCAUCCAGGACCUCCAGGUUCCACUGUCUCCUCAACAGAGACUUUUCCUGGACCCAGAAAGGAAUGCCAAGUUUGUUUCUCUUAUAUCAUGGACACACCCAUCCCAUUAAAUGUGCCUGGCUCUUGCUGUGCUAGGCCCUGCAUCUGUUCUAUUACUGAAUUCCCCAGGGGAUCUCCUAGAGGAGUUUUCAAAAACCUUCUGCAUUACAGGAAAUAUAAGCUCAAAAUAACAAAAAAACCCAAGGUGUCACCCUAAAUUAAAAGUGUAUUAAGUGCUGAUGAUGCAAAGUUGUUAAACGCCUUCAUAUGUGUGGUGGGAUGGCAAGAACGGCCUGCCAGGCCUCCACCCUGCUGCUCUCUCCCUCAUCCUUCCCCAAAGGGUGGUGGGAAAGAAAUAAGCAACAGCAGCAGCUCCUGGGUUGAGAUAAGGACAGGGAGAUCUCUACUUGCCAAUUACUGUUGCAGGCUAAACAGAUACGACUUGGGGGAAAUUAAUUUCAUUUACCUAAUUCAAUUUAAUUGACAAUAAUUUAUUACUGCUUGAAAAUAAGGGUAGGAUGGUGAGAAGCAGAGAUAAGAAGGAAAAACUGCUCUUCCCACUUCGUUGGCUGGAAUACAUGAUCCUGUGACUAAGUGUCCUGUGCCACAGCAAAUGGAGCUGCCCUGAUGGGCCCUGCUGACAUCAGGGAGACUUCUGAAACCAAGAGGUCUUCUGAGAAGUCUCCUCACCACUCUGUUGGGACUUGGCUGUGAACAAAACUUGGGCUGGAAACAGCCAGAAGAAUGGAAUAAUUGUGGGGAAUAUUUUAUUGCUGCAGUGGGGCCCAGCACUGGAAUUUUAUCAUGUUUGUAAAUUUCUCACUUUUGUUGUUGUUGUGAUGGCAUUACUUUUGUUCUGGUGUAGGGAAUAUUUUGGUGUGAGGAAUAUUUUGGUGUGGGGAGAGGUGCCAGUGCAGGGGCUCAUUCUCAGCCAGAAGCUCAUGGAGAGGACCCUGGCAUGGGCUUAUGUGAGGGCCUGCAGCCCAGGGAAGGGGCCUGUGCUGGAGCAGAAAGAAAGUGUGAGGAGAAAGAAGUGUCAGAGGGAAUGUUAUGAGCUGAAGACAGUCCUCAUUCCUCAUUGCCUCACAUUGCCCGGGUGGGAGGAGGUAGAAUCAGAAUUUAAGGGCUGAAGGGGUGAAGGGGAAGGCUUUUUUAGCUUCUAUCUGUCUGGGAUGGAGGUCACUUUCCUCAGAGCACUGUGUGUGUGAUGCAUUGCUGUGAGCUGUGCUGCUCACCCCACACUGAGGUCUCCUCUCUCUUUCCUUCACCCUGUCCCAAAGCAAGCACUCUGGGAGUGGGAUGGAAGUUGAGAGGGGACAUGGAGAUAUUCAAGCUGACCUUGGGGCUAUCCCAUGCCAUGAGAUGUCAGGUUCAGCAUAAAAGCUCAAGGAAAGGAGGAAGAUGGGAUGUUGGUGAUUAUGGCAUUUGUCUUUGCAAGUGGCCAUUAACCAAGCUGAGGCUCUGCCUCUCAGGAAGCAGCUGGACAUCUGCCUGCCAGUGGGAUUACUGAAUGAAUCUUUUAUUUUGCUUUGCUUAC